GGUGCGAGCGUUGUCCGGAAUCAUUGGGCGUAAAGGGCGCGUAGGUGGCCCGGUCAGUCUUUGGUGAAAGCGCGGGGCUCAACCCUGCGUCGGCCAGGGAUACUGCCGCGGCUCGAGCACUGUAGAGGCAGGCGGAAUUCCGGGUGUAGCGGUGGAAUGCGUAGAGAUCCGGAAGAACACCGGUGGCGAAGGCGGCCUGCUGGGCAGUUGCUGACACUGAGGCGCGACAGCGUGGGGAGCAAACAGG
rnacentral:rRNA from 1 species